CCAAAGAAGAAAAUUUGGAUUUCGAUUCGUCAUCGCAGUAAAAGCAUUUAUUGCUGAAAUUUGCUCGCAUCCCAGAGUCGCAGCCAGAAUUGAAGGAGAUAUUCGCUUCGUUCGUCAAUAAGGCAGCGAAAAAAUGAGUGCUCCCCGGGAGGGGCCAGUAGCAACGGAAACAGAGCGAGGUAAAAACGAAGGUAUCAGUAAAGCGUCGCCGAUUCCAGUAAAAAGCUGUGGAGGAUUCGGAAUUGCUGCUGCUAAGGAAAUCCAGGUUGUGUCUGCGAAAUAAGAUGUUAAUCUACAAACAGGUAUUCCGACCAGCGAUAAUGUAUGCAGUUCCGAUUUGGUCUAGUUGCUGCGCGACGAGGAAGAAGGCC